AGAGUUUGAUCCUGGCUCAGAUUGAACGCUGGCGGCAUGCCUUACACAUGCAAGUCGAACGGCAGCACGGGGGCAACCCUGGUGGCGAGUGGCGAACGGGUGAGUAAUACAUCGGAACGUGUCCUGUAGUGGGGGAUAGCCCGGCGAAAGCCGGAUUAAUACCGCAUACGCUCUACGGAGGAAAGGGGGGGAUCUUAGGACCUCUCGCUACAGGGGCGGCCGAUGGCAGAUUAGCUAGUUGGUGGGGUAAAGGCCUACCAAGGCGACGAUCUGUAGCUGGUCUGAGAGGACGACCAGCCACACUGGGACUGAGACACGGCCCAGACUCCUACGGGAGGCAGCAGUGGGGAAUUUUGGACAAUGGGCGCAAGCCUGAUCCAGCAAUGCCGCGUGUGUGAAGAAGGCCUUCGGGUUGUAAAGCACUUUUGUCCGGAAAGAAAACCUCUGGGUUAAUACCCUGGGGGGAUGACGGUACCGGAAGAAUAAGCACCGGCUAACUACGUGCCAGCAGCCGCGGUAAUACGUAGGGUGCAAGCGUUAAUCGGAAUUACUGGGCGUAAAGCGUGCGCAGGCGGUCCGCUAAGACAGAUGUGAAAUCCCCGGGCUUAACCUGGGAACUGCAUUUGUGACUGGCGGGCUAGAGUAUGGCAGAGGGGGGUAGAAUUCCACGUGUAGCAGUGAAAUGCGUAGAGAUGUGGAGGAAUACCGAUGGCGAAGGCAGCCCCCUGGGCCAAUACUGACGCUCAUGCACGAAAGCGUGGGGAGCAAACAGGAUUAGAUACCCUGGUAGUCCACGCCCUAAACGAUGUCAACUAGUUGUCGGGUCUUCAUUGACUUGGUAACGUAGCUAACGCGUGAAGUUGACCGCCUGGGGAGUACGGUCGCAAGAUUAAAACUCAAAGGAAUUGACGGGGACCCGCACAAGCGGUGGAUGAUGUGGAUUAAUUCGAUGCAACGCGAAAAACCUUACCUACCCUUGACAU
rnacentral:rRNA from 1 species